AUUGGACUUCGAUUAUCGGUUCGGUUCGGUUCGGCAGACGGUAACCGAUCGGUUUUCUCGGUUUAAGGCUACACCAUAUAUAAACACAAAAACCCUAGAUCUAAGUCAUUUUUGUUUUUUCUUUUCCCGCAGCCAAAGAAGAGAUCCUUUUCUUUCUCCUUUUCUCCUUCGAUCUUCUUCUAUUUUUCUUAGAUUUUUUUUCCCCACCUCUCUUCUUACCUUCUACAACUCUCCCUAUUUUUCGUUGAGAUCGUGUCCUAGACGAAGCUCUUCAUCCUUCGAUCCCUCGCGAUAUUCAGAUAACUUAUCCGGUGGAUUGAAAGAUAGUAGCGGCGGAGAGAUUAACGGUUUGUAACAGUGGUCUUGGUUCUCGCCUUCUCGGUGGCUUGGACCGCCGCAGUCCGCCGUCGUCGCCGCUCAUCGUCUUUUCUCGAAACCCUAAUGUAUAUUGGAUUUGGGCUUGUAAUCUAAUAGAUUUGUUUUGUGAUUCAUUUAGAUAUUUUUGGGCUUGUUACUUUUAUUUCGCCCAUUAUUUUAGUAGUCUGUAAUUGAAUGUAUUUGUUAUUUGAACCCAUUAUUUUAAUUUUUGGUCUAAUUCGGUUCGAAUAAACCGAAUUAGAAUAAAAUUCGGUUUAUUUCGGAAUUGAUUUUAAAUCCUAUAACCGAACCGAAUAAACCGAGAACCGAACCGACCGAACGGAAGUUUUA